ACCGGUAUCUGCAAAAUAAUUUUUACUUUUAUUGAUGAGUCGUAUUCUUAAAUUAUUUAAGUCCUAAUGGACUAAUAAUUAGUUUUUCAUUAUUUAUUUAUGUAUUAGUCUAUUUUUCCCCGACCCUCUAUACAGAUAUAUGUAUUUACACCAUGUAUAUACAUGGUGCAUAUACAUAUAUGUGUAUAGAGCAAUAUGAAAUCGGGCCAGCCUUUAAUGAAAAUGGAUAGGACCAGGCCCAGUCCAACAAAAGGACCAGACCCGGUCCAUUAAACGGCUUAAAGGAGGGGGGAGCCUUAUACUCCUCCCCGUCAUUUUCUAUUUGGCCCUAGGAGCCUGUGUGCAAAGAGGAGAAGAAGGAGGCGGCUAGAAGUAAGCCUAACGCCGCCUGGCUGUACGCACCACCUACCCGCCCCUUCUUGGCCACGUCUCAUCUGUCUAGAAGCACGUAAUACGGAGGAGAGGACGAAGCAUUAAAAGCUUUGUCCUUCUCUCACCAGAAAAUAGCCAAACAAGACCUUAAAGGAGAGAGGAUCCUCCAAAUCCACUUUUGGUCUUGGCCCUGUCCAAAAAAGGUAACAAUUGCUCUUAUUAUUUCCUUUUUUUAGUUUCAGUUGCUUUCGAUGUUUGUUCUUGUUUAGUAAUAUGUGUCCUUGUUAUUUUUUAGUGAUUUAGGGAUUGGGUUUUGUUAGCUGUAAAUUUAGUGUUUCUUCAUUUUGUGUUGUGAAGUAAUUUAUGCCUUUUUAGUUACAUCUUCUUUAGCUUCUGUUAUUAUUGUUCCAAAUGGUUUGUGGGUUCUGAUUUUUGCUGAUUGUGGAUUUAGCAUUUCUUUUAUCCUUACUGUUACAACUUGUGUUCAUUUAGAGUGUUAUUCCUUAGUAUAGAUUGUUGGUUCAUAAGUUGAUUACCUACACCAUCUUUUCUAGUUUGGAUUAAGUAUCACUCAGUUACUUAAUUCAUAGUUUUAACUGUCUAAAAAAUUGGUUUUGAAGUGAAAAAGGUGCUUUACUUGUAAACUGUUUGCAAACUAUUUGAUUAUGUGAUUCCAGUGUGAAAUUUAGUCAUCUUGUGACUUGUUUUUGAUGAACUUACUUGUUUAGAAACUGCAUUAAUUGUCUGAGAUUGACUAGUAGUUAAAGGGUGAUCAUCGGGAUUGAAAUUUGGCAUUUAAAUGCAUUGGAUGUGUCCAGGACCUUGUUUCUUGCCUGUACAAUUUAAAAUAAUAUAGAACUAGGACUUUGAAUCACUUUGUGAUAGUUUAUUGAACGAGAUUGCACUAGUAAAUGCCUAAGUAAUGGAUUUUAUUCUUUUCAAAAAGGGUCAACAUUGGUUCUUUGAAACUGUUUGGAUUACCUUAUGUUCAGUUAACUUGUUUGCAUUACAUUUGAUUGUUUUCCUGGAAAGAAUGAAUUUCAAAGUAAAGAAUGAGACUAGGAAAAGGGUUAAGUUCAAAAAAGUCUUAUUGUUUGAUUUUCUCUGUCUGGUUUGGUCUGCUUAGUCCUAAUUGCUCUUUUAUUGUCAUCUGAAAGUUUGUUCUAUAGUCAAGUGCUGGUUUUUAUCAUGAAAUCCCCUUUGCGAUUUCUGUUUCUUUCAAACUUUAGUUAAGGGUCUUAUUUGUAUGAGUCUGGUAUUAAUGGAAUAGUGUUAAAUGAUUGAAAAGGUUCUUGUGCGUUGUUUUGGUCUAAAAAGAAUAGAGUCAUUUCGUUUUAUGUUAUCAUACCUCACUUAGCUUAAGUAGUAUCAAAAGAAUGAAAAGUUAAAAGAAAUUGAGUUAGUUUGAAGGUCUGUGGAGGGUAAAGUUAAAUUCUGGAUUCUCUUUUGAUUUGAGUACUAUUUGACAUAAGUUGACUGCCUGGAUGUCUGUACUUGGUUGUUUGUUGUCACUUUAUUUAAAAGACAAGAAGAGAAGUUCUGGGGUUUGCUAAGUGUCUGAUUGUCUUUCUUGAUCAAAAUAGUUGACAUGGACUGGUCAACACAUUUUUUCCAAAAAAUAACAUCUAAUCUUUUAUCAUCUGUGCUUGUUUGGUUCUCAUGGAUUGAUUCAGGAAAAUAGGGAUUUAGUUUUCAUAAACAAGUGUGGUUUAUUCUUGCUGUGAUCCAUGUGCUUAAUACUUGCCUAUGUGAACUCUCUCUCUUCUGUGUAUGGUGAAUCUUGAUGGGACUUGUUUUGCUAAAACUUGUACUUAUUCUGGGAAGAAUCAAUUUUAUAUAUUUGUCAUACUCAAUUUUUUCUAAAAGAUUUGUUGAUACUAAUUUCAAACCUUAAGGUCAUGGACCCAUUGGUAUAGUUGAAUUUCUUCUGGGAUUAGAUUUCUAGCUUCCUUUUUCACCAAACAUAGAACACUAAUAUUUGGCAUACCCUCACUUGUCUUUUUAGAAACAGAACUUGAUAUCCUUGAUUGAUUAUAUUAGUUACUUUCUUCAAAAGGAAUUUGUCACUUCAAACCUACUUAUUUUGUAAUAAGCCUAGUAAACAGGAAGCCAGUUCUAGCUUCUCUCUUUGUUUGAUAAAAAUGAAUAAGGAUUAAAGACCUAUUUGAGUCCAUUGGACUAAAAUGAUGAUCUUUCUUUCUUGUCCUAUCCUUAAGUUAUCUGUUGUUGUGGUAUUUUGUGCUUUGUUCAUCUUUACAAGAGUGCAAAUUCAGUUUCCUAUACCUGUGUGAUGUUUGCAGUACCUACUCACACCUGUUUUUUUUAUUUAAGUUUUAAACUUGCUGAGAAACCUCUUUUCUUGAAUAAUAGUGUGAUUUACAAAUGAAUGAUAUAUCCUUGGCUUAAAUAAAUGAGAGUGUCUGUUUGUUUCUAGAACUAAAAGUGAGACUGGUUGACUCUUUUCUCUCAAAAAACCAGUGUGUGCAAAUUCUUCUUCCUUUUCUUAGUUUAUGGCUGUGAAGUGUCUGAGUUCUUGAAAAAACUGAAUUUGUAUGAACUUGAUACUUCCUUCAGAACCAAACAUAAGGUGCUUGUUAUUCUCCAAAACUGUUCCUGUUGAUUUAAUUGACCUAUCCCCUUUCAAGACUAAGUUGUAGAGUGUUCAUUAUCUUUAAAAAGCUAUUUGUAUGAGUUGUAUGAUCCUUUAAAGAUCAAGUGUGCAAAACUGUAUGACCUUUUCUUAGAACUUAAUUUGUCAAGUGACAGUUUCCCUUUUAAAAGCCAAGAGUGUGUUUGUUUGUUCUUUUCUUAAACCUGGUUGAGGAGAGUGUGCUUUUUUCAGGAUUAUAUGUGAACAUUAUUGCUUUCAAACUUUAUGUGGAUGUGUGCCUCUUUCUCUUCUUUAUUCUCUUCUUUUAAACUGAUUUAUGCCAAUGGGAUGUCCUGAUUUUGUUCAAGUCUGUGUACACUUAACUAGGCUGUCCUGUUUACUCUGUUGUUCUCAAUACUGAAUCCAUCAAAAGCUUUUCUCACAGUAAAAAGAUCAUAUUCACUAACCUGUGGACUUGAUGGCUUAAAGAUGUUGCUUAUUUUUUGGUUGUAUAGUUCCUGAUGAUGUGAAUUGUAACACUUCUAAUUGUGUGUUGAACUAAUGUGUCACUUAUCUCACUCUAGGCCAUGUCUAAGUUGUACUGUGCAGGAUCAGUUUCCAACUUGUCUCCAUUGUUAUGAAUUGGGUUUCUUUUCUAGAAAAAUUCUAUUGAGUUGAAUGUUGCUCCCCUAACUUGCUUUUCUGUGUAAUGCUUUAAGACCUCUUAACUGGAUUAACUAAUCUCCUCUUUCACCUAGAAUAGGGUCUAGUUCUAAUCACAUCUUAUAUGAAAUGAUGUCUUUGAAAAUCCAGUCCAAUUUUGAUAUCUGGUGAUCUGUUUCAUGUCUGGUGUUUAAGACAGACUUCAUCUUGUUUCCUCUACCUUCUCUUGUCCAUUCAACCUUACUAUCUCUCCCUAAAGUUGUAUAGUUCUUUAUUUUUUAAACUGGAUAUGACUAUAAUAUACUUUGCCAUUAUUGUGCAUAAUAGUGGAUUGUUCUGAAUAGAAAUAACAUUUGGUCACCAUGAUAGAGUAGUUAUUUGGACCUGUUAAUUGAGAUGGGCUUUUCCUUCAAAAGUGUUUAUGAAAGAGUGUCGUAGUUGGCUUUUAUUUAUAAAAUACUAUGCUUGGAUGUUAUUUUGAUCCUGGGAUGAGCAGAACUGCCACAGUAUUGGACUUAUCCUUUUUGGGCUCACUUUUUGGGUCUAUUCCUUUAGCCUUGACACCCAUGUCUCAGAUUGGGCCCAAUAAAGAGAUGAUAGUUAUAUUUAGCAGGGACUAUCCAUUUAUCUUUUCCAUUAUGUAAUUCAUUUCCUUUUAUGUAAAGUUAUAAAUAGUUAGAAGUAUUGUUCUUUGUUUUUUCAUUUAUUACUGUCCAGUAUAGGCUUAUAUCCAUGUGUGAUUUGUGUACUCUCCAUGUAUACUAAAUUGUUGGGAUAUGUAUUAGGACCUGGUUUGGUAAUUCUGGGUAGUUUUAGUCUCCUCGGUGUUAACCAUGCCUGGGAUUCUUUGAAACCCUUUGGAACUUGUGCAACAUCGGGAAUACGAGGCUGAAACCCAGUGCCCAUGCCAAUACUAAGCCUUAAAAUAAAUCCCUAUAGGCAGUCUCAAUAUAUGGGGGCAAGUAUAUGAUCUUUUAUAUAGUGUGUGUGUUUAUAUAUAUACAUGUGUGUUUGAUUAUUCUAGUUAUAAGAGCAGUUAAAUAUAAACUAACCAAUUCCCCUUUUUUUUUUUUUUUUCCUUUUCCACCUCUACUUGCAUGACCGCUUGGGUCCAAACCAGCCCCUGUUGGGCCAAAGGCCCAAUGGGAUUUCUCAUUUACAUUAAGAUCGGGUCUAUGGAGAAAAAUGAUAGCGAGGCGUGCAGAAGGCCCAGCCAUGGGUGAAAAUGGCCACUAGGGGCUUGGUACGCCCCUAGUUUAAAAUUUGUUUCCAUAUAUGUAUGAUCCUAUGUGUAUGUAAUUAUAUGUAUUCAACUCAUAUUAUAGUGGAAAAUACUUAUGAUUAGAA